rnacentral:lncRNA from 1 species
GGCUCAAGGCCACUUGCCCCAGGAAGAUAGCAGAAACAGGAAGAAAGCUGGCCGAGAGACACAUACCCGCUGAAGAUCGAAAAGGAAGCUGUCAAGGUACUACGUAGCAGUCACUUCAGACUCGGACACUUCCUGUUUACAGAGGACUAUAAAACCCCUGCCCCGUCCUCACUUGACGCUGACGCCAUUUUAGGCCUCAGCCCAUCUGCACCCAGGCGCUCGUUAAAACAGCCUGUAGCUCCACACCGCCUCCUGUUGUCUGUUGGCACGUUCUCGGGGUUCCAACCGAUACAAGAGCCUUGCAAAAGGUUGGGAUCAUGGUGCCAGAGGCAGGACCAAAAUGAGAUCCCCUCAGACAAAUUGGCAACCCCUGGAAUGGAGUGUGGUAUCAACUGAGCCCACUGUGUAUCUCCUCUUGGAUUCUAGGACUCUUACUUUGGAUAAUGGUGUAAUUGAAAUUUCACAUUCAGUAGCUUCUGCUGGUAACUUGACUGAACCUGAGCUAUGAGAUGCUUUAGUCUACCUAGUGGUCUCACGAUGAUGGGAGACAGUGAUACGUCAUCAGGCAUGAUCUUCUCUCAAGAAGCCUGCAACCUGGAAUCUUCUCACAAGGAGUGUGCAACCUAGAUUCUUCUCACAAGGAGAGUGCAAGCUAAAUUCUUCGCAUGUGCAGUUCACGAUAGGUUUCAUGCUCCCAUGAGAAUCUAAUGCUGAUGCUAAUCUGACUGGAGGCAGAGCUCAGGGAAGGAUGAGAGUGAAGGGGAGUGGCUGUCUCACGCCACUUGAUUACUACCCUGAUUUCUCUAUCCAUAGCUACCAACCCUACUUUAAUAUGUGCAACUUUCUGAAAAUAAAAUUUUAAACAGGGGACUGAAGGAAACGAGACUAUUUCACUCAGAAAUUUGGUUAAAGAAAUAGUUGCAAGGUCUCUCUGGCCUCUCCCCUACCCUGCUGUUAUCUCUGAAUCACCUGUCUCUCUCGAGCACAGGAUUAAUCUGUUCUCUCAAGUUCCCUUACUUUCCUAGAAACCAGAUAUGCUAAAGAGAAACAGAGUUGCCUUCUCUGAAAUUUCAUUAACCAGAAAAGAUGAAAACUCAUAUUCCAGAGGAGGAGAUUGAAAACUAAACCCUACACCUAGAGCCCAGACUUUGUUCCAAAUCAAACUCUCUGUUCAAUUUAAUUUCCAAAGAAAUUAUUUAUUAACCAUUGUCUGAGCAUUAAAUCUAUUCAUUUUCCCCAUAAAAAGCAUUUACUAUCCCUCAGACGGCCCCAUUUCUCCUAACUCUUCUUCCCCUAUGAAGAAGGCGUUAUACACAUCUGUACCACAUUGAGUUACUGGGUAAUCACUGUUUAUGUUUUGAGGGGGACCUUUACAGAAAAUCCUUGUAAAAAAAAUCAAGUAUACAUUACUGCCUUUUUCCAUGAG